rnacentral:rRNA from 1 species
UACCAGCACCCCGAGUGGUCGGUACGUUUAUUGGGCCUAAAGCAUCCGUAGCCGGUUCUACAAGUCUUCCGUUAAAUCCACCUGCUUAACAGAUGGGCUGCGGAAGAUACUAUGGAGCUAGGAGGCGGGAGAGGCAAGCGGUACUCGAUGGGUAGGGGUAAAAUCCGUUGAUCCAUUGAAGACCACCAGUGGCGAAGGCGGCUUGCCAGAACGCGCUCGACGGUGAGGGAUGAAAGCUGGGGGAGCAAACCGG